rnacentral:misc_RNA from 1 species
GCUUGUCUUGAAUCAGAGAAUCUACUAGGAAAUAGGUUGCUGCAAAACUGCUUGCUUGAGAUUCCGUGUAUAAAGGACCUAUACCUUAAACCUAAGUUGAAGGAUAUUGUUUCAUUUAAUCAAAAUAGCCUUGAGCUUAACAUCCUAUUUCCCUUUUAUCUAGUUUGCUUAUAGCCAAGACAUAGGACAACCUAGACUAAAGUCUCAAAAACUCUGUAGUUCACUAUUUUCUUUCCUGUCAACCUUUUAUGAACUGUUAAUACUAUAAAGCAACAAUAUGUUAUUGCAGAAUGCAUUAAAUUCACUAGGGGAUGAUAUGUGUCAUUCAACAAUGUU